GGUGAACGGGGAUCGGCGCCUAACUCGAAGUUGGGCCGGGACGGACUUUCAAAUUGGUUAUCGACUCUUAACGGUUAUUGAUUGCUGCGGGGAGGUUCGCUUCUUCUAAUUCGUGACCCCGGGUGGAUAGGUAGCUACGCAACGCGGUUCGAUGUGCUCCGAUUUGUUAUAUAUGUAUGGAACGGCGGAAGGGUUUUCUUUUUUCUUUCUCGUUCCUCUUCGUCGUCUAAUUCCUUUUCCUCGCCACUCAACGUCGAUCCUCUUCUCAGCUAUCAUCGAGUCUUUAAACGUGCAACACUUGCGCGGGAAGUUCUCUUUUUUUCUCACGUAGAGUGGCUCAAUAAUCGUUUAGCAGGAUUUUGUUUUUUUUCCUUUCGGUUUCUUCUUCUUGUCAAAUUAAGUAACCUCUUUUAUCGAAAUCCAUUGCGGAAAGGAUUACUCCAAUGGAAUAAGCUGUUCACCUGUGGCUGUAUACGGAAGGAACUCUGCUGCAGAUCAUAAUAUCCGUCAAAAGCAAGGUUUCGCGAAAAAUAUGAAUGAUCAAAACAUGGGUACACGCAUACGUUUCAGUCCCAUAUAAAAUAUAUAUGUAUUGUAAAAACGGGACAAAGAUACUCUACCCAUUCCUCCGGGAUAACACACAGAAUCACCGAUACAAGAAUCUGUCAGAGCCACAAACGUGGGUCUCUGGCGAGGGGAACGAUGGGACAGUCGUCCGACAUUGAACAGACACUGAAAAACCUUUAUGGGGGUGGUGAGGGAAAGAAAGGAAAAAAACAGCAUUCAAGACGAUCUCAUGCUAAAUAGCCAGGUUCGAGAAAGACGUGGAAUAAAAGACAAAAAAAAACAGCUAACGAUAAGAGGUCAAUAUCGUAAUCUUUCUGGAAAAGGAAGAAGAAAAAAAUAGAAGAAAAAACCCCCCGUUGGAAAAAUCAGCUCUACGACAAUUUUAACCGGAGUUAUCCAAACAAAUUUCAACAUCAUCAAGUAACGCGAAUCGAAAAUACAUUCAGGAAAGCAGAACGCGUUAAAAUGAGGAACCUUUAAGACGAGUGAAUGGGGAAUCGCUUCCGAUUACAGCCUAUGAAAAAGAGUCUCGCUAUCAUGAUGUACGACGGUUCUUCGUGCCAUGUUCCAUGGCGGUGAGGUUAGUUCGAUCUAUAAUUACGCCAGAGAGUCCGACAUCGGUGGUUCGUACAUAAAGCCUCUUCGACUCUCUCUCUCUCUCUCUCUCUCUCUCUCUCUCUCUCUCUCUCUCUCUCUCUCUCUCUCUCUCUCUCUCUCUCUCUCUCUUUUUGCCCCGCCAUCCGCCGCCCACGCCAGACAAACUCGAAGGAAUGGCAAACUACUGUGGGACAUCGCAUCUGCCAAAGCAUAUUUGAUAUCCAGAGCUUAUGCAGCGAUCGCUCUCUCCCUCUCUCUCUCUCUCUCUCUCUCCAUCUCCCCGUUCCGUCCCAACCCCUUUUUCCAGUAUAGAGAUGAGGAGAUAAAAGAGAAAGAGAGAGAGCGAA
rnacentral:lncRNA from 1 species